rnacentral:rRNA from 1 species
UAGACCGCCUGGGGAGUACGGCCGCAAGGUUAAAACUCAAAUGAAUUGACGGGGGCCCGCACAAGCGGUGGAGCAUGUGGUUUAAUUCGAUGCAACGCGAAGAACCUUACCUGGUCUUGACAUCCACAGAACUUUCCAGAGAUGGAUUGGUGCCUUCGGGAACUGUGAGACAGGUGCUGCAUGGCUGUCGUCAGCUCGUGUUGUGAAAUGUUGGGUUAAGUCCCGCAACGAGCGCAACCCUUAUCCUUUGUUGCCAGCGAUCCGGUCGGGAACUCAAAGGAGACUGCCAGUGAUAAACUGGAGGAAGGUGGGGAUGACGUCAAGUCAUCAUGGCCCUUACGACCAGGGCUACACACGUGCUACAAUGGCGCAUACAAAGAGAAGCGACCUCGC